UAAGUGGUGAUCCAAAAAAUAACUCGGA
rnacentral:sRNA from 1 species